UGAAUUCACUACUGUAAGUCGCUCUGGAUAAGAGCAUCUGCUAAAUGACAAAAA
rfam:Salmo salar isolate Sally breed double haploid chromosome ssa09, whole genome shotgun sequence.